CCUUUAUUUAGGGACAAAACCAGACCUACUCCAGCAAUUCUCUUGUCGAAUUAACUCCAUCUUAUACAGCGCACUUCUGUAACUCCAAAAACAAUUUUAGCCCACAUAUUUAUUUACAUUUACAUAAUAAUAAUGUGACCCAAUUUUUAUUUUUUAACUUCUGUUUUUAUCAAUUUAUAUCAUCAGACUGAGACAUACAUAAAUGGAGAAAAUAUAGGAAAAAGGGUCACCUUCCUUCCUAGUCUCCUUCUCUGCAAUAAUCUCGUCAAGUUGCCUUAAAACACAUAGACAUACACUAAUACAUACAGAAAUUUCCAGCUAUUUCUCAUCUGUAAAGUGCAUGUAUUUGCUUCUUCCAUGGCAAACUUUCCCCUGAGCUCCCAUAAACAGGAGAGGAAAACUUAUCAAGCAUCCUUCUUAAUUUCCAACAUGGCACUUCUAAGUUCUGAAAUACUAGAACAUAUGUCAAAGUAUCUGAUACAAGGAUGUAUAGUUUUAGGUUAUAUGAUUAUCUAUACUCGUAUUUACCAUAAUAUGUAUAAAAUGUGUGUUGAUGGAUAUAAUUGGUGGAGAUCUUAUGGUUAUAUAUCCUACUGAAAUCUAAACUUGGAUGAGACAUAUAAUUGUACAAUCACAGGUUCACAGCUUUAAUGUACUAUUUUUCUAUGUUUGAUUAUAUUGGUCAUAUAUUGUCUUGACAAUGGUGACGUUUACUCGAGUAUCUGUAUUUAAACUGAUUACUGAUCCAUAGAUAUUAGAUCACUCUGCUAGUGCUGAAUUCCGACGUGUGGCGGCACGCUAGGAUUUGCAAAGUCUAAGUGUGUUGUAUGUCGAUGUGGUAUAACCUCAAUUUCUUUUGGGGUGGAAUAAUCUCAUGUUUUUGUUAUAUGUUGGCUUUCUCAUCUGAUGCGUAUUGAGUUCUAAAAAUUGCAUGAGAGGAUAUAUUGAAAGAAAACGAGCUAAGAUGAGUUAGAAUAUGUGAACACUAAGAGAGAAUAGACCUUGGUAAGCCUUGGGUAUGAUAUUAAGAAACUACACAAUGUUGUGACAUGGUGAUUGAACUUUGAUUUAUUACAUUUUUGAUACUUGUGAUUAUCAUCUACUUCUAUUACUAUUUAAGUUUGAUCAGUGCAAAAAUCAGUGCUAAUAUUGCCAAACUAAACAAAUUCUUGAGACAUUUAAGUCACGUCAUUGCCCUGCUUUGUUUCAUUUUCCUUGCUCUCAUCUUUGCUUAUAAUAUUAGGUCCUAGUGUCCUACACACUGGGAUAUAUUCAUUCUCAAGUUUUUAGAAUUGGCUAUUGGACAUCGCUAUCAAAUUGCUGUCUAUAUUUCUUGCUGAAUUAAGACAUCUAGCAGAUUUCUUGUAUGAAAUACACAUUUGUGGCAUCAGAAGUUGUCGUUUCAGAUUGAGAGCCUGCUUCAAACGGCUUGAGUACCAUACUCUAAGGUGAGCAUUAUUGUAGUCUGUAGAUUGAUUUCUCAGCUGCUAAUGAAUAUUCAAUGUAAUACAGCUGAUAGAUAGUACUGAGUUGCGUUCACGUUCUUUUCCACCCUUCCAUUGAUCAUGCACAAAGGAUCUUGCAGUAGACCAAUGAAAGUGAAGACAGACUACCCAAGCGGACCAAACUGGAAAGGAUGGUAACUAGUGUCAGGACUCAGGGAUAGGCUUUUUGUUGACAUGAGCUUUUCAGAAUGAUUUCUCUUAUCGGGAUUUAAUGGGAUUUAGAAUUUGGUUUCACUCUUCUGCGAGGUUUCGUUCAUCCCUCCGUGUCAACUGUCAACUGUAAGUCACCAUAAUCAGGCUGUCUUCUUGCUCUUACCCUCUGUAAUUGCGAAAGUUGGCUUCUCAGAGUAUUGGCAGUUUCAUCACUUUUUACAUACCUCGUGAAAAUUUCUGGAGUGCUUUUGGAGAUGUGAAUGGUGGAUGCAGGAAAGGAAUCUUUUAUGCUUAAUUGGCUCAUGGAUGAUGUGAAGGAACUCUCUACUGUCCAUGUGGCUAGUGAGCUAGUCCAGACUCCAGACUGGGAAUUCGGCUUGGUGGUGAACUAUGACUGACCAGUGAAGCAACCGAGCUGUGAGGCUGGUCGGUCUGGGUGGGUCACUUGCAAACAUAUCUGGGUGGCCAAAUGUUUUUCCUGUUUUGGGACUGUAGCGAUUGAGCAAAUGAUGAAGUUGCUCAUUUAGAUAUAUCAGAAUGAGCAAAUAAGCAGAAAUCUAAUCUUGGGUGUAUUGUACCAAUGCGUGUUUGCAUAUUUCUUGUCUGGUACAAGUAAAGUAAUCCGUGGAGCACAAUGAGUCAAUGAGAAUUGUGCUCAUAUAAUGCAAAAUAGAACAUUUACGAAAACGAAAACGAACAUUUUACUGUUGAAAUGAAACAUUACAAAUUCACUUACGAAAACGAAC